UUUCCUUCUCUUGCAUGUGCGUGCAUGUUCAAGGCCACAGUGACCACAGGGCCACAGCUGAAAGUCAUUGAAGCAUAAUGUGUUGAAUGUGACGAAACGCACUCUGCAGCGACUUUUGUCCGUUUCUACUGUAGAAACAUGGCAGCACAACAUGGCGACGUCGAUGUGAGAGCUGAGUAAGUCACCUUUCUUGUACACUUUGAUGAUAUCUUUAAUCUCUUCGCUGGUCCUGGAGGCCAGGAUCUCAAUCAGCACGUUGUCAUCAGUACCGGCGCCCUGGGAACCAAAAACAAUAUGUGGAUGAAAUCAAUAUGAGACAUCAUGGAUUUGUGUGGCAGCAUCUUCUCAAAGCAGCUUUUGUUAUU